AAAAGAAAGCCUUGCCACCCCAGUUGGCAGCAACAAAUUAAAAGUUACGAGCACGAAUCUCCCAUGUCCGAGAGAGGAGAGGACGACAGAGCGCAAGAGACUAUAUUUUACAUUUGUUUGGAAAACUUUAUGAGUGCGCGCAAAGCGAAAGGAAACAUGAGUCAUGAAGAGACACAGGAGGAAAGAGCGGAUUUACACUAAAACACGAAAGAGCCUGAACCAUGACAGUGUCACAAGUUGCCUUACAUCGCAAACAAAAAGAUGCAAGACUGCAAACUUUCCAGUACUCCUGUGUACUGAUAAUCUGGUUUCCACCCAGUCCCAGGA